rnacentral:tRNA from 1 species
GGAAAAUUAGUUAAAUACAUAACAUAUGCUUGUCAAGCUUAAGUUGCUACGAUUAUCAUUUAGUAGCAUUUUCUU